rnacentral:rRNA from 1 species
UAGGGAAUCUUCCACAAUGGACGCAAGUCUGAUGGAGCAACGCCGCGUGAGUGAAGAAGGUUUUCGGACCGUAAAGCUCUGUUGUUGGUGAAGAAGGAUAGAGGUAGUAACUGGCCUUUAUUUGACGGUAAUCAACCAGAAAGUCACGGCUAACUACGUGCCAGCAGCCGCGGUAAUACGUAGGUGGCAAGCGUUGUCCGGAUUUAUUGGGCGUAAAGCGAGCGCAGGCGGAAGAAUAAGUCUGAUGUGAAAGCCCUCGGCUUAACCGAGGAAUUGCAUCGGAAACUGUUUUCUUGAGUGCAGAAGAGGAGAGUAGAACUCCAUGUGUAGCGGUGGAAUGCGUAGAUAUAUGGAAGAAUACCAGUGGCGAAGGCGGCUCUCUGGUCUGCAACUGACGCUGAGGCUCGAAAGCAUGGGUAGCGAACAGGAUUAGAUACCCUGGUAGUCCAUGCCGUAAACGAUGAGUGCUAAGUGUUGGGAGGCUUCCGCCUCUCAGUGCUGCAGCUAACGCAUUAAGCACUCCGCCUGGGGAGUACGACCGCAAGGUUGAAAC